GUCAAAAUUGUGCGCCACGUUGGUUCUAUACGUCAUUGCGGGCGCAUGUGUUGAAUCAACACCAGGCCACCGGCGGCGAGGCCGUUUAAGAGUAAUUGAUUUAAAAUGACGGUGUUUCACGACGAGGUUGAAAUAGAAGAUUUUGAAUAUGAUGAAGAAACAGAAACAUAUUAUUUUCCUUGUCCAUGUGGUGACAGAUUUGCGAUAACGAAGGCAAGUUUUGUUUCUCCUGUCAUAACUUGACAUUUUCACUUUCUAAACGUGUAACUUAUAUAUAUUGAUAUGUCAUUAAUUAAAAAAUUAUUUGAAUUUGUGUAGUCGUAACUUUUACAGUGUAACGUUAUUGUUAUAUGAGCGGGUAAAUUAACGGAUAAAUUUUUGGAAUAGCUUACAGAAGUACUGCAGAACUAGAAGAUAUUAACACUGGAAAAAAAGAAUAAAGGAAAAGAAACUGACAUUUAAUUGAUCUUAUAAUAUAUAUCUGUGUAUUGGCUCGAGGUGUCAGGGUAUAACUAAGUGGCAAAUAUUUUUAGGCGAAUUAAAUAAUAUUUUAUUGAGGGAAACUGCUUCUGUUUUUCAGGAUGAUCUUGAGAAUGGUGAAGAAGUGGCCACCUGUCCGAGUUGCUCACUUAUAGUAAAAGUAAUCUAUGAUAAGGAGCAGUUUAUGUGUGGAGAAGUAAUUGAAGCACCAAAAACAUCAGAUAACAAAUUGGAGCUGGCCCAGAGUUGAGACAUAGACAUCGACAUGACUCUUUCACCUGAUCCUUUGCCCUGAUAAUGGACUUAAUGCACAUCUGUCAUUUCACAUAUGCAGAUCUUUUGUGAGAAAACUGAUCACAUUGGACUUGAGAAUUUUAGCACCAAGAUUUUGCACACAAUUUACUUUUCUGUUAAAGUUAUUUAAGUUAAAAUAAUAAAUAAAAAACUUUUAAAACAA